rnacentral:rRNA from 1 species
UACGGGGGGUGCGAGCGUUGUCCGGAAUCACUGGGCGUAAAGGGCGCGUAGGUGGUUUGAUAAGGCUGUGGUGAAAGCCCGGGGCUCAACCCCGGGUCUGCCGUGGCGACUGUCAGACUUGAGGGCUCGAGAGGCAGACGGAAUUCCGGGUGUAGCGGUGGAAUGCGUAGAGAUCCGGAAGAAGACCGGUGGCGAAGGCGGUCUGCUGGCGAGUACCUGACACUGAUGCGCGACAGCGUGGGGAGCAAACAGG